GUUCCCUGGAGGGGCCCUGGGUGACGAUGUGGGCGAGUGGAGGGGGACCCCGACAUGUGAGGGAGGAAGCGUUCCGUGGUCCGUGAUGAGCCUUCGGAUUCUGGGUUUGGCGUAGCCCCCUCCCCUCUCAGGAAUCCUGGGACUUCAUAGACCUCACGUUGUCGAAGACUCAACGAAAGACUCCAACCGUUAUUCAUAAACAUUACCAAAUACAUCGCAUUAGACAUUUUUACAUGAGAAAAGUCAAAUUUACUCAACAGAAUUACCAUGAUAGACUUUCACAAAUUCUAACAGAUUUCCCUAAAUUGGAUGAUAUUCAUCCGUUCUAUGCUGAUUUGAUGAAUAUUCUCUACGACAAGGAUCAUUACAAGUUGGCUCUGGGGCAAAUAAAUAUUGC
rnacentral:lncRNA from 1 species